rnacentral:rRNA from 1 species
AUGCCGAUAAUUUCAGGGAGCAGCCACCGUGAUGGUGCUAUAUACAAGAGAGCGGCUCACUGGGAGCAUAAUUACUUUUUUGAUAUCACUGACCGUACAGAGACUCGGUUGGAGCCAGCGCGUGCAUACGAUAUACCACGUAACAUGAUGCAGAUCUUUUCAAUGAAGUUAGCUAAAGCUCCUAUCAACAGUGGCUCAAUACAGUUAUACGGAUAUAUAGCAGCACAUGAUGAAGUUGAUCUAAGACUGAAUUAUGUUUUCAAUCGUAGCAGGGAUGAUCCCAUCACCGUGCAGCAGGGUUCUCUAAUUGAAAUGAACGGCCCUAAGAGAGCCAUCCUGUUGAUAUUUGAUGUGCUACUUGAGUUUGACAUGAGGAUCAAGAAUGGAGAGAAUGAAGAGGAUGAUUUGCAGCUGAUUGAUGGAAUCUCAGAAUUUUACGGUUUACGCAUGUCGUGGAGACCGCACGAGGUUCGCAUUGGUGGAAAUUGUGGUGCAGUCGAUACGUCUUUUGCACUUGUUCAUAAUUCAGUCGAGGCCACAGUACAAGUUAUCAUAUCAAAAGUGCAGACUGGCUUUGAUUUAUCUCUCAGUUCUACGAUUGCUCUUCUGGAGAUGAAUAAAGAAUUCCAGCUCUUCAGUGGAAAUAUUAGUGAGUCCUGUGGCUUAGGAAGCUUUGUGAUUGCUGUCACAUGGGAUACGCUUAUGAAUUUGAAGUUCAAGGUUGAUCACCAAGGCCGUAACAAUAAUAUUGAACGCAAUUGUUCCUUCAAAGCUAAGUUAAAUGGACACGCCAGCCAUCAGCUAAAUCUCGAGACUGCCUCAAUUUUAGUUAAGGUGACUUGGGCUGUGUUGCCUGCAUAG